CCUACGGGAGGCAGCAGUAGGGAAUAUUGGGCAAUGGGCGAAAGCCUGACCCAGCAACGCCGCGUGAAGGAAGAAGGCCCUCGGAUUGUAAACUUCUUUUAUUCGGGACGAAACAAAUGGCGUUACAGAAUGAAUAAGCCACGGCUAACUACGUGCCAGCAGCCGCGGUAAUACGUGUGUGGCAAGCGGUAUUCGGAAUUACUGGGUGUAAAGGGCGUGUAGGGGGGAGAGCAAGUCAGAGGUGAAAUUCCAGGGCUCAACCCUGGAACUGCGUUUGAAACUGUUCUUCUUGAGGGAUGGAGAGGCAGGCGGAAUUCCGGGUGUAGCGGUUAAAUGCGUAGAGAUACGGAGGAACACCAGUUGCGAAGGCGGCCUGCUGGAAAUUAACUGACGCUGAGGCGCGAAAGCGUGGGGAGCAAACAGGAUUAGAUACCCUUGUAGUC
rnacentral:rRNA from 1 species